AUGACCGACAAAUUCAUCAUCAAGAAGAUCCUAAGAGUCUUGGAUGGAAAAUAUGAUAUCGUGUGCACAUUGAUCCAAAUGAUGCCCAAUUACAAAGAUCUCAAGCCAACGGAAGUCAUUGGAAGAAUUGUUGCUCAUGAGAUGUCACUCAAGGAUAAGGAGGAGCUCCACAACAAGUCAAGUGGUGCUUACAAAGCCUCAUGUGAAGCUCCCACAUCAUCAAGUGAGAAACAAACCUUCAAUGAAGAAUUGAGCCUAAUGGUGAAGAACUUCAACAAGUUCUACAAGAGUAGAAGAAAGAAAAUAAGUUCCAAGUCAAGGUCCUACAAUGACAAAAGAUAUUCUAGUCAUGAGUGUAAUUGCUACAAUUGUGGAAGACCCGGACACUAUUCCGAUGAAUGUACGUCUCCCUACAAAAGAAGAGAAGACUCUCCAAAAAGAAGUAGAAGAGAAGAAUCACCAUCAAGAGAAAGGAGUGGAGAUGAUCAUUGUGAACAAAGAACAUCCCGAAGAAGCAAGGAUUCGGAAAGGAAGGACAAGUCAUUAAGGAGCUACACAAAACGAAGACAUCAAGCUCAUGUUGGUGAAUGGGUAUCCGGCUCCGACUCCGACAAUCACUUCGAGAGAAGCUAUCACUCCGACUCCGAACAUACUCAAGAUGAAGGUGUUGCCGGUCUAGCACUUGUGUCAACCAACUCAUACAACAUAUUUGACUCACCAAAUGAAGGGAUUGGAAGAUGCUUCAUGGCUAAAGGCCCAAAGGUAACACACCCCGAGUAUGUUGAUUUUAAUAGUGAUGAAGAUGACUUGUUAGGUGAUGUUGAUUUACUUGUUGACAACUCUAGUGAUGAAACAUCAAAUAAUCAUGCCAAUCAAGAUAAAACGAAUGACAAUGAUAAGGAGAAGAUUGAGCACCUAACUAAAUAA
rnacentral:rRNA from 1 species